rnacentral:rRNA from 1 species
AAUUCGACGCAACGCGAAGAACCUUACCUAGGCUUGACAUCUGGGAAUCUCAUGGAAACAUGGGAGUCGCGGAGCGAAUCGUGAGCCCAAGACAGGUGCUGCAUGGCUGUCGUCAGCUCGUGUCGUGACGAUGUUGGGUUAAGUCCCGCAACGAGCGCAACCCUUGUCUCUAGUUGCCAUCAUUAAGUUGGGCUACUCUAGAGAGACUGCCGGUGAUAAACCGGAGGAAGUGGGGACGACGUCAAGUCCUCAUGGCCUUUAUGCCUAGGGCUACACACGUGCUACAAUGGAUCGUACAAAGGGUCGCGAACCCGCGAGGGGGAAGCCCAAUCCCAAAAACCGGUCCUCAGUUCGGAUUGGAGUCUGCAACUCGACUCCAUGAAGUUGGAAUCGCUAGUAAUCGUGGAUCAGCAUGCCACGGUGAAUACGUUCCCGGGCCUU